rnacentral:rRNA from 1 species
GAGCGGCGAACGGGUGAGUAACACGUGAGUAACCUGCCCCUGACUCUGGGAUAAGCCCGGGAAACUGGGUCUAAUACCGGAUAUGACACCUCCUGGCAUCGGGUGGGUGUGGAAAGUUUUUUCGGUUGGGGAUGGACUCGCGGCCUAUCAGCUUGUUGGUGGGGUAAUGGCCUACCAAGGCGACGACGGGUAGCCGGCCUGAGAGGGCGACCGGCCACACUGGGACUGAGACACGGCCCAGACUCCUACGGGAGGCAGCAGUGGGGAAUAUUGCGCAAUGGGCGAAAGCCUGACGCAGCGACGCCGCGUGGGGGAUGACGGCCUUCGGGUUGUAAACCUCUUUCAGCAGGGACGAAGUUGACGUGUACCUGCAGAAGAAGCGCCGGCUAACUACGUGCCAGCAGCCGCGGUAAUACGUAGGGCGCAAGCGUUGUCCGGAAUUAUUGGGCGUAAAGAGCUCGUAGGUGGCUUGUCACGUCGGGUGUGAAAGCUUGGGGCUUAACUCCAGGUCUGCAUUCGAUACGGGCUGGCUAGAGGUAGGUAGGGGANACGGAAUUCCU